GGCUUCCCUGCGUAGAGUGUGUGUGAGAUGGUGCUGACUGCUGAAAUAAACUACUCAAGAGCUGUCAGAGAAUGAGAAUUUAAGGUUAUGUCAUAAUAAAAAUUCAACUCAAUUUCCAUAUGCAGGAGACUUACGGUGUUAAAAUAAUACCGAUCUUGUGAAUUUUUCCCAAGUCUUCGCAAACUCGACCUCAAAUUAUUCUAUAGCCUAAAACUUUCAACAAAAAUGCAAUUUUUUUUAGUUAGAAAACAAAAACAAAACAAAACAAAGAACAAAAACAAAGAAAAUAAAGUAUUCCCUCCCCCACACUUAAAAUAUGCAUUAUCCUCAAUGAAAGAAACAAACAUAAUAUAAGAGAGAGAAGAGAGAGGAAAGAACACACCCGAGUAGUCAAGGAGAAUAGGUGAUCACAUAAGCAGUCUUUCCCAAAGAGAUAUAUUCUACAUUUUCUUCUUUCAAAGUGGGGCUGUCAUGGAAUAGCUUUGGGU
rnacentral:lncRNA from 1 species